GAAAAGUUACUGAAGUUGUGAGACAAAUGUUGUGCAAUAUUUGCCCCUGAGGUGUGGUGAAGUAGAAGUACACUGUAGAAGAACAAACACCUAGAUUUAGUUCAGUGCUUGGUUAACAGCUUGUGCUUUCCACAGAGUCAGCAGAAAGAUUUCAGAGGUUGUCACAUGAUAAAUGGAAGAGGAACAGGGGAACAAAAACACAGAUCUGACACACAGAUCUUAAGUAAGUCAAAUUUGUACUUAAGUGCAACACUUGGGUAAAUGUACUUAUUUCCUUUCCACCACUGUCACCAUGUCUAAGCCCUGAGGGAGACCACAACAGCAGGAAGGAGAGGAGGGUUUACAUCAGUCAUAAGAAAAGUGAAAAUGACUCAGUCUGACCAUUGGGGAGUUUCCUUCUGCCAUCUUAAGAAAGUGAAACCGUUUUCUGCAGUGUGUCCUGCGACCAACACUUUGUGUGAACAUGGCAGAUUCCUGUACUUUCGUCUUUCACGAUGAGCUCCUGUGCUCCGUCUGUCUGGAUGUGUUCACUGAUCCAGUCACCGUACCAUGUGGACACAACUUCUGCAUGAAGUGCAUCACACAAACCUGGGAUUCUAGUGCCGGCGUUCGGUGUCCGAUGUGUAGGAGAGAUUUUGACCAAAGACCUGAGCUGAGUGUCAACACCGGCAUCUCUAAGGUGGCUGAUCAGCUCAAGAAGUUCACCAUAAAGGAAAUCAGCUUCUGCUCAACUGAGCAACAAGACGAAGCAGGAGAUGUUCUCUGUGAUGCCUGCCCUGAGAACAAACUGACGGCUGUGAAGUCCUGCCUGGUGUGUCUGACCUCCUACUGUGAGACUCACCUGAAGCCCCAUCACAGCUUCCCAGGUCUGAAAAGACAUCAGCUGAUGGAUCCAGUGAUGAAUCUGGAAGACAGACUGCGUAAGAAGCAUGAUAGACCUCUGGAGCUGUUCUGCAAGGUUCAAUAGAUCAAUUCUGCACCGAGUCAAACCAUAAGAACCAUCGCUUUGAGCUUCUGGAGGAAGAAUUUUGGAGAAAGCAGGCCGAGCUUGGAAAUGCAGACAUCAAAAUUGAGGAUCUAAACAAUAAGGAGUGUUACCAGGUCAGACGAACACCUUAAAGUCCCCGUCAGUCUGGUAGAAGCAUCUUGGAUUAGAAGUGAAACGUCUCCAAGAACCAAUAAGAGAAGUCCAGCUGAAGAAUUUUGGAUUACCGUGACCUGGAUAUGACUGAGAACCUACACGGACUCUUCAGGAAGUUUUUACCGUGAGGUCAGUUUAAAGAGAAGACCGGCUAGAGAGACAGUAAAUAAGUAAAAGAAAAAUCCUACUGAAGUCAGAGUACAUCAGCAUCAGCAGCAAAAUGUAGUGAAAGUAUGAAAGUGAAACUACUGGUUGGAGCCAUUUGACUGAUAUAUUGUUGUGUAAUCAUCAGAUUAUUUACAGUAACACAUCAGUGCGUCAGCUGCUUGUUACUGUUGGAGCUGCUGCAGGUUUGAACUAGUUCAUAAACAGGGACAGCAGCUACAUGUGAGGGUUCAAAAGAAGGAAGUUGUGAUGCACAAAUCUGCUUUCUCUGAUCUUUGAUUUGGUGAGAUGUUGGAUCAUUUGACAACAACUCAUAGACGUGUGAAUCUGGAGCCUGGCUGCUUCUUGUAAGAAGCUUUAACACUGUGUUGUAUUUUAAAAGCUUUUCUUUUAUAUGACUCGUUGUGCAAAAUGUUCGUCUUAACUGUAAACAAAACUGUCAGAUAAAUGCAGUGCAGAGCAGAAGGUGCAAUAAUCCAUUUAAAAUGUCAUGGGGGGGGGGGAUUAGAAAGUAGCACUGAUUAGAAAAAGUACAAAUUCUUUCUAUAAAAAAAAAAGUACUUGAGUAAAUGUACUUAGUUACUUUCCACCACAUACAGGGAACUGGCAUGACAUGGGCCGUGAUUGGUCAGUGGUGGAACAUGGCAUUAACCCUGUAAAGCCUGAACCAUGAAAUAAUUGCCAGAAAAGUCAAAUUUUUUGAAACUGAAGUGUUUAUUGAACCUUCUGACAAAUAAUAAUAACAAAAGUACAUUAAAAUUUCCAUCGAUAGGUCAUAGUUUGGAUUGUUUUUUCUACAUCCGGCAUGUUUGGUGCCUACAUUACUGAUCCACGGUGGAUUAUCCUUGCACUGAUAACGUAGAGGUCUCAAAAACUCAUGUAUCAAACACGAUGCACCUUGUGUUACAGGGUUAAUGACAGCAUCGCUUCAAUAGAAGCCCAAAUGAAAGGGAGGCAUCAGUGUGUUUUCCAACGACAGGACGGCUGAGCGCUGCCGUGAAACUCCAUCUCAGGAGGUUGGAAACAGUGAGAACAGAGCGUCAAGAAAUGUUGUAGGUCUGUGUUAACGUAAGCAAAGAUGAAGAUGAAAGAAGCCACAGUUCUGCCAGUUAACUGCAGCUCUCAGUCACCCUGAAAGAAAAAACAGGAAGUGGUGAAUGUUUCUGUUCUUGUUAUGGUGCUGUAUAGAUUUGGCAUAAUGCUUUGUGUUUACCCAACAAAGGCCUCUGUAAGAUGGCCUGCUAUGGAUUGUGAAUUCAGGAAUUUCUCAUUUAUUUUAUUCAAGUCCGGUCCUACCUCGAGUACUCUGACAACUGCAGUCUGUCUCUAUGAAACUCUGGUCCAAGCAUUUGUCUAACGGUGAACUUUCCCCACUGUGGGAUCAAUAAAGUUGAUCUCUAUCUUUGUUACUGUGAUGAAUGUAAAACAUGAUGUGUACAUGUGUACUCAGUAUAUUUGUAAAUGUUGGAUGGACACACUUUUUUAAGUGUUGUUUAUGAAUAAGAGUCAGUUGUGUUGUUUCAAGAAAGAAUGUCCUUUUUUUUUCUUUCAUUAAAGACUGAAAUAAAGGUAAAGUCCA